rnacentral:lncRNA from 1 species
UAUCUCAAGGCAAAACAGACCUGUUUACAAAAUGCCUCAAACAUGUAACAAUAUACUUGCACAUAUUGUCUUGUGUAUGUAUGUAUGUAUGUAUGUAUGUAUGUAUGUAUGUAUGUGUGGGUGGUGGGGAUGGCUCACGGAUUUUCACGUAUUUCAAUCACUGAUUUCAGUCAGUAACUUGACAGGUAUGCAGGACUUGCACUCUCUUCUCUCUGUUGCUCUUCCUCUAGAUCCCCUGCCUCUUGUACCACUAGGAUCUGCACUCUCUUCUCCUCUUCCUCCUCUCUCUUCUCCUCCUCCUCUCUGCUCCUCUCUCUUCUCCUCCUCAUCCUCUCUCUGCUCCUCUCUCUUCUCCUCCUCCUCCUCAUCCUCUCUCUGCUCCUCUCUCUUCUCCUCCUCCUCGCUCUGCUGCUCUCUCUUCUCCUCCUCCUCUCUCUGCUCCUUCUCCCCCUCUCUCUGCUCCUCUCUCUUCUCCUCCUCCUCUCUCUGCUCCUCUCUCUUCUCCUCCUCAUCCUCUCUCUGCUCCUCUCUCUUCUCCUCCUCUUCCUCUCUCUUCUCCUCCUUCUCCUCCUCUCUCUGCUCCUCUCUCUUCUCCUCCUCGUCCUCUCUCUUCUCCUCCUCCUCCUCUCUCUGCUCCUCUCUCUUCUCCUCCUCCCCCUCUCUCUGCUCCUCUCUCUUCUCCUCCUCUCUCUGCUCCUCUCUCUUCUCCUCCUCCCCCUCUCUCUGCUCCUCUCUCUUCUCCUCCUCCUCCUCUCUCUGCUCCUCUCUCUUCUCCUCCUCCUCCUCCCCCUCUCUCUCCUUCUCCUCCUCCUCCUCCUCCUCCUCUCUCUGCUCCUCUCUCUUCUCCUCCUCCUUUCUCUGCUCCUCUCUGUAGCUCAUCCUCUCUGCCUUCUGCCUCUCGCAUCACCAGCAACUGACCACCCCUCACUGGCUUCACUUGACCCUGGGCAACGUCGAAACUGAGAUCUGCAUCAGAAUGCAACAGGAAAGAACAGCAGGCUACUCCUCCAAAAUAGAUGUGAAAUGAUUUAUACGUUAUCUAUUAAAUUGAGCAAUAUGUUAUCAUUAUCGCGGCC